CUUAGUUUGUAAAUUAUGUCUGAGUGUUGGAGUGUGCCUCUGGCUUUCUGUAAAAAAAUAAUAAUAAUUGUGCCAUCUGGUUUGCUUAAUAUAAGGAUUUUUUAAUUAUUCAUGCUUUUACUAUUGAUACUUAAGUAUAUUUUAGCAGUGACAUUUACAUUUGGUACUAAAGUAUAUUUCAAACCAAAUACUUUUACUCAAGUAGUAUUUUAAUGGGUGACUCACUUUUACUUGUCAUUUUCUGAGGUAUCUUUACUUUUACUCAAGUAUGACAAUUGGGUACUUUUUCGACCACUGCCUGAAGGUAGGGAGGGGGCAGUUCCCCUUGCUGCUCCAUAGUCAAGCACCAGGGUCUUGAAGUGGAUGCGAGCUUCCACUGAGAGCCAGUGGAAAGUGCAGAGGAGCUGGGUGACAUGGGAUAACUUGGGAAGGUUCAACAUCAGGCGGGCUGGCUGCGGCGUUCUGAAUAAGUUGCAAGGGUUUGAUGGCACAACCAGUGAACCCAGCCAGCAGAGUUGCAGUUGUCCAGAUGGGAGAUUACAAGUACCUGGAUUAGGACCUGUGCCACUUCCUGUGUGAGGAAAUCAUUUUCUACGGAUGCUGUAGGGCAUGAACCUGCAGGAGAGAGUCACUGCUUGGGUGUUUGCAGAAAACAGCAGGGUGUUGUUCACGCUGAGGUUCUUUGCACUCUGGGUGGGGGACACCAUAGAGUUGUCAACUGUGAUGGAGAGGUAUUUGAGUGGGCUGGCCUUCCUGGGUGUGUGUGGUUCACUUUAAACCCGACAGACAUGCUGUGGAAACUCAACACACAACGUGCAACUGGGAGCAGAGCAGGGCGGACAGAUGCAACGUGGAACACAAACACACACCGAGCAAAUGCUGACUCCAGGCAACAACAACAGAGGAAGCAGCAGCAAAUGCAGUAGUAGCAGAAAGAAGAAAACCAUGAAGAAAUCCGCCAGAGGAACCCCCCUCACUGCUCUCCUCUCCCCAGGACCACAGUUCUGAGAUGGGCUGCUUCUCGGGACACCAACCCAUGGCUCCUGUGCUUCAUCCAGACCUGGACUGUGGCAGCAGCAGCCUGCCUACCCCCCCCCCCCCCCUGAUUGCAUUUCAUAAAUGGCCAUAAUAAUAGCAAAGAUGACUCUGGGUCUGGAAACUCUGUGUUUUGAAUGCUAAAGGUGCUACUGAGUGUAAUUAUACAGUACAUUUUACAGUGCAAUAUGAAUGGUUGAAACACUGGUCUUUUAAAGUAUUUGCUAAAGAUGAUUAUAAUUACAAAAGACAAUUUAGUAGUAUUAUAAAUACAUUUUAUUUGUAUUACCUUUA